rnacentral:rRNA from 1 species
GUGCCCUACGAGACGCAGCAGUGAGGAAUAUUGGUCAAUGGACGCAAGUCUGAACCAGCCAAGUAGCGUGCAGGAUGACGGCCCUCCGGGUUGUAAACUGCUUUUAGUUGGGAAUAAAAGGGGGCUCGUGAGCCCCGUAUUGUAUGUACCAUCAGAAAAAGGACCGGCUAAUUCCGUGCCAGCAGCCGCGGUAAUACGGAAGGUCCGGGCGUUAUCCGGAUUUAUUGGGUUUAAAGGGAGCGUAGGCCGGCUUUUAAGUCAGCUGUGUAAGUGCGCGGCCCACCC